rnacentral:rRNA from 1 species
GAUGAACGCUGGCGGCGUGCCUAAUACAUGCCAGUCGAGCGAACAGACGAGGAGCUUGCUCCUCUUACGUUAGCGGCGGACGGGUGAGUAACACGUGGAUAACCUACCUAUAAGACUGGGAUAACUUCUGGAAACCGGAGCUAAUACCGGAUAAUAUAUUGAACCGCAUGGUUCAAUAGUGAAAGAGGGUUUUUCUGUCACUUAUAGAUUGAUCCGCGCCGCAUUAGCUAGUUGGUAAGGUAACGGCUUACCAAGGCAACGAUGCGUAGCCGACCUGAGAGGGUGAUGGGCCACACUGGAACUGAGACACGGUCCAGACUCCUACGGGAGGCAGCAGUAGGGAAUCUUCCGCAAUGGGGGAAAGCCUGACGGAGCAACGCCGCGUGAGUGAUGAAGGUCUUCGGAUCGUAAAACUCUGUUAUUAGGGAAGAACAAAUGUGUAAGUAACUAUGCACGUCUUGACGGUACCUAAUAAGAAAGCCACGGCUAACUACGUG